GAUGAAGAACGUAGCGAAAUGCGAUAAGUAAUGUGAAUUGCAGAAUUCAGUGAAUCAUCGAAUCUUUGAACGCACAUUGCGCCCGCCAGUAUUCUGGCGGGCAUGCCUGUUCGAGCGUCAUUACAACCCUCAGGCCCCCGGGCCUGGCGUUGGGGAUCGGCGGAAGCCCCCUGUGGGCACACGCCGUCCCUCAAAUACAGUGGCGGUCCCGCCGCAGCUUCCAUUGCGUAGUAGCUAACACCUCGCAACUGGAGAGCGGCGCGGCCAUGCCGUAAAACACCCAACUUCUGAAUGUUGACCUCGGAUCAGGUAGGAAUACCCGCUGAACUUAAGCAUAUCAAUAAGCGGAGGA
rnacentral:misc_RNA from 1 species